rnacentral:lncRNA from 1 species
AAAAAUGCCUGAACCGAGAAUAAAGAAAGAGGUUCGUGGUCUCUUAGGCAGAUGGAACUACAUGUCAUGGUUCACAUCUUAUCUAACAGCCACGUGUGAACCCAUGUUCAAGACGUUGAAAGAAAAGAUCAAACGGUCAGGUGAAAUAAUGAUUGCCAAUGGGCAUUGAAAAUAAAAGAAUAAGUUGCAGGAACCUCUGAUUCUGAUACCUCCUGUGGAAGGAGCGAUUGUUAAUCUGGUACUUGAC